UACAGAGGGGGCAAGCGUUGUUCGGAAUUACUGGGCGUAAAGGGCGCGUAGGCGGCCUUCUAAGUCGGACGUGAAAUCCCUCGGCUCAACCGAGGAACUGCGUCCGAUACUGAAAGGCUUGAAUCCGGGAGAGGGAUGUGGAAUUCCAGGUGUAGCGGUGAAAUGCGUAGAUAUCUGGAGGAACACCGGUGGCGAAGGCGGCAUCCUGGACCGGCAUUGACGCUGAGGCGCGAAAGCUAGGGGAGCAAACGGG
rnacentral:rRNA from 1 species